rnacentral:rRNA from 1 species
GACGAACGCUGGCGGCGUGCUUAACACAUGCAAGUCGAACGGAAAGGCCCUGCUUUUGUGGGGUGCUCAAGUGGCGAACGGGUGAGUAACACGUGAGUAACCUGCCCUUGACUUUGGGAUAACUUCAGGAAACUGGGGCUAAUACCGGAUAGGAGCUCCUGCUGCAUGGUGGGGGUUGGAAAGUUUCGGCGGUUGGGGAUGGACUCGCGGCUUAUCAGCUUGUUGGUGGGGUAGUGGCUUACCAAGGCUUUGACGGGUAGCCGGCCUGAGAGGGUGACCGGCCACAUUGGGACUGAGAUACGGCCCAGACUCCUACGGGAGGCAGCAGUGGGGAAUAUUGCACAAUGGGCGGAAGCCUGAUGCAGCAACGCCGCGUGCGGGAUAACGGCCUUCGGGUUGUAAACCGCUUUCGCCUGUGACGAAGCGUGAGUGACGGUAAUGGGUAAAGAAGCACCGGCUAACUACGUGCCAGCAGCCGCGGUGAUACGUAGGGUGCGAGCGUUGUCCGGAUUUAUUGGGCGUAAAGGGCUCGUAGGUGGUUGAUCGCGUCGGAAGUGUAAUCUUGGGGCUUAACCCUGAGCGUGCUUUCGAUACGGGUUGACUUGAGGAAGGUAGGGGAGAAUGGAAUUCCUGGUGGAGCGGUGGAAUGCGCAGAUAUCAGGAGGAACACCAGUGGCGAAGGCGGUUCUCUGGGCCUUUCCUGACGCUGAGGAGCGAAAGCGUGGGGAGCGAACAGGCUUAGAUACCCUGGUAGUCCACGCUGUAAACGGUGGGUACUAGGUGUGGGGUCCAUUCCACGGGUUCCGUGCCGUAGCUAACGCUUUAAGUACCCCGCCUGGGGAGUACGGCCGCAAGGCUAAAACUCAAAGGAAUUGACGGGGCCCCGCACAAGCGGCGGAGCAUGCGGAUUAAUUCGAUGCAACGCGUAGAACCUUACCUGGGUUUGACAUGGAUCGGGAGUGCUCAGAGAUGGGUGUGCCUCUUUUGGGGUCGGUUCACAGGUGGUGCAUGCCUGUCGUCAGCUCGUGUCGUGAGAUGUUGGGUUAAGUCCCGCAACGAGCGCAACCCUUGUUCACUGUUGCCAGCACGUUAUGGUGGGGACUCAGUGGAGACCGCCGGGGUCAACUCGGAGGAAGGUGGGGAUGACGUCAAGUCAUCAUGCCCCUUAUGUCCAGGGCUUCACGCAUGCUACAAUGGCUGGUACAGAGAGUGGCGAGCCUGUGAGGGUGAGCGAAUCUCGGAAAGCCGGUCUCAGUUCGGAUUGGGGUCUGCAACUCGACCUCAUGAAGUCGGAGUCGCUAGUAAUCGCAGAUCAGCAACGCUGCGGUGAAUACGUUCCCGGGGCU